rnacentral:rRNA from 1 species
UCAGGAGGUUUAUUGGGCCUAAAGCAUCCGUAGCCGGUUGCAUAAGUUUUCGGUUAAAUCUAUGCGCUUAACGUAUAGGCCGCCGAAAAUACUGUGCAGCUAGGGAGUGGGAGAGGUACACGGUACUCGAUAGGAAGGGGUAAAAUCCUUUGAUCUAUUGAUGACCACCUGUGGCGAAGGCGGUGUACCAGAACACGUUCGACGGUGAGGGAUGAAAGCUGGGGGAGCAAACCGGAUUAGAUACCCGGGUAGUCCCAGCUGUAAACGAUGCAGACUCGGUGAUG